AAGUCGUAACAAGGUUUCCGUAGGUGAACCUGCGGAAGGAUCAUUACCUUUCAAUGCAGCAGAAUUGGGAUGGUUGAGUAUCUCGCCUCUCAGUUCUGCCUGUAUUCUACCCUUGUUUGUCAUAUACUAUUAUUUCCUCGGCAGGCUUGCCUGCCGAGUGAAACCAUUUAUAACCUUUUUAAUUUUCAAUCAGCGUCUGAAAAAAUUAAUAAUUACAACUUUCAACAACGGAUCUCUUGGUUCUG
rnacentral:misc_RNA from 1 species